rnacentral:rRNA from 1 species
GACGAACGCUGGCGGCGUGCUUAACACAUGCAAGUCGAGCGGGAUCCAACCGGUGGCAACACCGGGGAAGAUCUAGCGGCGAACGGGUGAGUAACACGUGAGCAACCUGCCCCAAGACUGGGAGUAACACCGGGAAACCGGUGCUAAUACCGGAUGUCGUCAUUAGGCCGCAUGGACCUGAUGAUGAAAGGAUUCAUCGGCUUCGGGGAGGGGCUCGCGGGCUAUCAGCUUGNGGGUGGGGUAACGGCCUACCAAGGCGACGACGGCUAGCUGGUCUGAGAGGACGACCAGCCACACU